rnacentral:tRNA from 1 species
GUGGAUAUGGUCGAAUGGCAAAAUUUCUCUUUGCGAAGGAGAAGAUGCGGGUUCGAUUUCCACUAUCCGCC